UCUGAACAACUUUCUCAUUGG
rnacentral:piRNA from 1 species